rnacentral:rRNA from 1 species
UACGUAGGGCGCAAGCGUUGUCCGGAAUUAUUGGGCGUAAAGAGCUCGUAGGCGGUUUGUCGCGUCUAUCGUGAAAGCUUGGGGCUUAACCCCAAGUCUGCGGUGGAUACGGGCAGACUAGAGGCAGGUAGGGGAGAACGGAAUUCCCGGUGUAGCGGUGAAAUGCGCAGAUAUCGGGAGGAACACCAGUGGCGAAGGCGGUUGCCUGGAGCUUUGCUGACGCUGAUGCGCGAAAGCGUGGGGAGCGAUCCGG